CAAAGUUCAAAACAAAAACUAGUGCAGAAAAUAACCAAGGUUGUUUUCAUAACAAAAUAUGCAGGUUUUCACAAAAUCAACCUCUGUCAAUUUUAGGCAAAGUCUAGCAUAGUGACACCACUUACCUAACUUUUGCAUAAUGCUAUCUAAG